rnacentral:rRNA from 1 species
GACGAACGCUGGCGGCGUGCUUAACACAUGCAAGUCGAACGGAAAGGCCAUGCUUUUGUGGGGUGCUCGAGUGGCGAACGGGUGAGUAACACGUGAGUAACCUGCCCUUGACUUUGGGAUAACUUCAGGAAACUGGGGCUAAUACCGGAUAGGAGCUCCUGCUGCAUGGUGGGGGUUGGAAAGUUUCGGCGGUUGGGGAUGGACUCGCGGCUUAUCAGCUUGUUGGUGGGGUAGUGGCUUACCAAGGCUUUGACGGGUAGCCGGCCUGAGAGGGUGACCGGCCACAUUGGGACUGAGAUACGGCCCAGACUCCUACGGGUGGCAGCAGUGGGGAAUAUUGCACAAUGGGCGGAAGCCUGAUGCAGCAACGCCGCGUGCGGGAUGACGGCCUUCGGGUUGUAAACCGCUUUCGCCUGUGACGAAGCGUGAGUGACGGUAAUGGGUAAAGAAGCACCGGCUAACUACGUG